UCCACGCCAACAGACAGAACGAUGCA
rnacentral:piRNA from 1 species